GACGUAGGGCGCGAGCGUUGUCCGGAUUUAUUGGGCGUAAAGAGCUCGUAGGCGGCUUGUCGCGUCGACUGUGAAAUCCCGCGGCUCAACCGCGGGUCUGCAGUCGAUACGGGCAGGCUAGAGUUCGGUAGGGGAGACUGGAAUUCCUGGUGUAGCGGUGAAAUGCGCAGAGUAUCGGAAGGAACAUCAGUGGCGAAAGCGACUUCCUGGACCAGUACCGACGUUCAGGCACGAAAGCGUGGGGAGCAAACAGG
rnacentral:rRNA from 1 species